UGGGGGAUAUUGCACAAUGGGCGAAAGCCUGAUGCAGCGACGCCGCGUGGGUGAUGAAGGUCUUCGGGUUGUAAACUUCUUUUGUUCUGAACAAGGCGCACUAUGGGGAGUGCUGAGUGUAGGGGUUGAUUAGCGCCGGCUAACUACGUGCCAGCAGCGGCGGUAAUACGUAGGGCGCGCGCGCUGUCCGGAAUUAUUGGGCGUUAAGGGCUUGUAGGUGGCUGGUUGUGUCUGUCGUGAAAGCUCAUGGCUUAACUGUGGGUUUGCGGUGGGUACGGGCUGGCUUGAGUGCAGUAGGGGAGGCUGGAAUUCCUGGUGUAGCGGUGGAAUGCGCAGAUAUCAGGAGGAAUACCGGUGGCGAAGGCGGGUCUCUGGGCUGUUACUGACACUGAGGAGCGAAAGCAUGGGGAGCGAACAGG
rnacentral:rRNA from 1 species